AGUGAACGCUGGCGGUAGGCCUAACACAUGCAAGUCGAACGGCAGCACAGUAAGAGCUUGCUCUUACGGGUGGCGAGUGGCGGACGGGUGAGGAAUACAUCGGAAUCUACUUUUUCGUGGGGGAUAACGUAGGGAAACUUACGCUAAUACCGCAUACGCCCUACGGGUGAAAGCAGGGGAUCUUCGGACCUUGCGCGAUUGAAUGAGCCGAUGUCGGAUUAGCUAGUUGGCGGGGUAAAGGCCCACCAAGGCGACGAUCCGUAGCUGGUCUGAGAGGAUGAUAGGCCACACGGGAAGUGAGACACGGACCAGACUCCUACGGGAGGCAGCAGAGGGGAAUAUUGGACAAUGGGCGCAAGCCUGAUCCAGCCAGACCGCGUGGGUGAAGAAGGCCUUCGGGUUGUAAAGCCCUUUUGUUGGGAAAGAAAAGCAGCAGGUUAAUACCCCGCUGUUCUGACGGUACCCAAAGAAUAAGCACCGGCUAACUUCGUG
rnacentral:rRNA from 1 species